GUGUAUGUGUGUUUGUGUGUGUAUGUGUGUUGUUGUGUGUGAAUGUGUGUUUGUGCUUGCUUGUUUGUGUGACAGUGUGUCUGUGUUUGUGUGGGUAAUAUGCGUGUGUGUGGGUGUAUCUGUGUUUAUACAGUUACGAGUGUUUAUGAAUAUGUUAGUGUAAUAUGUGUGUUUGUGUAUGUAUGAGUAUGUGUUUGUAUGUGUGCGUGUGUGUGAUGUGUGUGUGUGUUUAUGUGGGUCAUAUGUGUGUGUGGGUAUAAGUUUGUAUGUGUGUGUCUAAUAUAUGUGUUUGUGUGGGUGGGUGGGUUUGUGUGUUUGUGUGUGUGUAUGUAAUAUGUGUGUGUGUGUCUAUGUUUGUGUGUUUGUGUGUGUUUGUGUGUGUGCAUGUAUCCAUGUCUGUGUUUAUAUAGUUACGUGUGUUUGUGUAUGUGUUUUUGUGUGUGAGAGUGUGCGUGUGUGUGUGUUUGUUUGUGUGUGUACUAUGUGUGUUUGUGUAUGUAAUAUAUAUGUGUUAAUGUGUAUGUAUGUGUGGAUGGGUUUUUGUGUGUAUACGUGUGUGUGUUUUUUUUUGUUUGUGUGAGUGUGUAUGUCUGUGUUUGUUUGUGUUUGGGAGUGUUUGUAUAUGAGUGUUUAUGUGGGUGAUAUGUGUGUACGGGCGAAUAAGAGUGUGGGUAUAAGUUUAUAUAUGGGUGGGUGUGUGUGUGUGUAAUAUACGUGUCUUUGUGGAGGUGUGUGUUUUUGUGUUUGUGUGUUUAUGUGUGUGUGUGAAUGUGUGUAUUUUUAUUUGUGUUUGUUUUUGUAUUUGUAUGUGUGAGUGUGUGUGUGUGAGUGUGUGUGUGCGUGUGUGUGUUUGUGUGAGAUUGUAUGUUUUAAUGUUUGAGAGAGAGAGAGAAAGAGAAAAAGAAAGAGAGUGUGUGUCUAUAUGUUUGUGUGUGUGAUGUGUGUAUGUGUGUUUGCGUGUGUUUNUGUUGGUGAUAUGUGUGUAUAGGUGGAUGGAAGUGUAGGUAUAGGUUUGUGUAUGUGUGUGUAAUAUAUGUGUUUGUAUGGGCAGGUGUGUGUGUAAUAUGUGUGUNNN
rnacentral:lncRNA from 1 species